UACAUAGGGGGCUAGCGUUGUCCGGAAUCAUUGGGCGUAAAGCGCGCGUAGGCGGCCCGGUAAGUCCGCUGUGAAAGUCAAAGGCUCAACCUUUGAAUGUCAGCGGAUACUGCCGGGCUAGAGUCCGGAAGAGGCGAGUGGAAUUCCUGGUGUAGCGGUGGAAUGCGCAGAUAUCAGGAGGAACACCAACGGCGAAGGCAGCUCGCUGGGACGGUACUGACGCUGAGGCGCGAAAGCGUGGGGAGCGAACAGG
rnacentral:rRNA from 1 species